AGAUGUGUAUAAGAGACAGGUGAGAAGAGAAUAAAGUCCCAGGUCCCUUGAAAAGCCGUACGAAGAGACCGUACCGAGAACUGAAACAGGUGUUUUAGGGUGAGUAGCCUAAGGCGUAUCGGAUACAAGUAUCGCGAGGGAACUCGGCAAAAUAGCUCCGUAACUUCGGGAGAAGGAGUGCCAGAUUGGGAACAAUCUGGUCGCAGUGACUAGGGAGCUCCGACUGUUUAAUAAAAACAUAGGGGACUGCCAGAUCGAAAGGUUGUGUAUAGUCCCUGAAUCCUGCUCAGUGCUGGUAUCUUAAAUCGGGUUUCAACCUGACGAAGGACCAGUAAACAGCGGGGGUAACUAUGACCCUCUUAAGGUAGCGUAAUACCUUGUCGCUUAAUUGGCGACUUGCAUGAAUGGUCCAACGAGGGCUCCACUGUCCCCGCGAUACGUCCGGCGAAAUUGACUUUACUGGCGCACAGUCCAGUACAUUCUACCCGCAAGCGAAGACCCCGUAGAGCUUUACUGCAGCCUGUCGUUGCAUAGUCGCUUUCCAUGUACUGUGUAGGUGGGAGACGUUGAUCCCUGGGACGCCAGUCCCGGGAGUAGUUGAAAGGAGAGACACCACCCUUGGAGAGUAACUAUGCUAACUGUUAAUCAGAACACCGAUUGGUGGGCAGUUUGGGUGGGGCGCCACGCGCUCGAAAACCUAACAAGCGUGCCCAAUGGUCAGCUUAAGUGGUUCAGCACUCCACUGUUAACUGUAAGGGGAAAAGCUGGCUUGACGUGGAUCCGCACAAUAAGGAUCGACGAUGCGAAAGCAGGGCCUAACGAACCUACCAGGCUUAUAUUUGAGGCCGGUAGAUAACAGAAAAGUUACCUCGGGGAUAAUUGAGUUGUCACCAGCAAGAGCUCACAUCGACCUGGUGGCUUGCUACUUCGAUGUCGUCUCUUCCUAUCCUGGGUCUGCAGCAGGACCCAAGGGUGGGGUUGUUCGCCCAUUAAAAGGGAUCGUGAGAUGGGUUUAGACCGUCGUGAGACAGGUUUGUUGCUUGGUGGUAGAAUCGCAUAAGGUGUUUGAUGGAAGGGGCCCUUUAGUACGAGAGGAACGAGGGCUCGGGGCCACUAGUUUACCAGUUGUCUGGCAAGGCAAUGCUGGGUAGCCACGCCCUGAUGGAUAAGAGCUGAAAGCAUCUAAGCUCGAAGCCACCCCAAAGACGAGACACCUCAGAACACUCGUAAAAGACGAGAUUAAUAGAAUGCGGAUGUAAGUAUGAAGCUUCGGCGACGUAUUCAGUCCAGCAUCACUAACGUUCGAGCAUCUUUUUU
rnacentral:rRNA from 1 species